rnacentral:lncRNA from 1 species
GCGUCGACAGCGACGCCAUACGCUUGAAGCGCUUGAAACGGCACCAUAACCUGCGGGAAUCGUCAUGCAAUUACGAUCGAUUUCUAAACUAAAGAUUCACUUCAGUAUCAGAAUCGAAGAGAGCAUCGAGAGGAAAGCCGAUGGCAGGUUUAUCACGGCGAUUGUUCAGGAAGAGAGCAUCGAGAGGAAAGCCGAUGGCAGGUUUAUCACGGCGAUUGUUCAGGAAGAGAGCACCUCGUAGUCCUCCGCAUAGUCGCCGCACAGUAGCAGAACCUUCUUCGCCAUUUCUCCUCCUCCUCCUCCUCCUCGCCUCUUCUUCGCCGCAAGAGACAGAGAGCUACUCCCACG